rnacentral:lncRNA from 1 species
UUGUUUAAAGCUUUACAUUAUUUAUGUCACAUUGAUCAUGAGAUUGUGGGAGGUAUACAAUCUAGUUGCUAUACUUGUGGUGUUCGACAUAGACUCACUCUUGCUAUUUUCCCCAAACCUCAGGAGAAGUUUAGGCUUGUGAUCAACCAGUCAGUUGGAUCCUGUAGAAAGAAGUUAAUACCCGAAGUUGGAGUUAUCUAUCCGCUGUAUGCUAUUAAAGGUUAUCUCUUUUAUACUAAGUACGGUAUAUAUUUAUGCAUUGUAUUUUGAUAUUACCACUUAUUUGUAGCUAUAUGUGAGAUUUGGCUUCUAAGACUCACAUAUGGUGCAUAUCUGGUUUUGUCCUUAAAAUUGGGUAUUACAAAGUGGUAUCAAAGCAAUGCUGGCUGUAGGACGCGAGCCUAGUUAGAAAUUGGUCGUCUUAAGGUUUUGGAAUUGUCAUAAAAUCCUUGCUCUAUAAACCUUGGUAUUUUCAUCUAUACUAUAUCUCUAUCCUUGCUAUUUGUCUCUACCUUGUUGCUUAUUUUAAAAGUACUUGUUUUCACCAUCAUUCUUUGAUUUGGUAUGCUAUUAGAACCUUUUCUUACCACCUUCUUGCGUCUUUGAAACAUAAGUUUUAGGAUCUUUGCCCUUAAUGAAGAGAACGAUAAUAUCGCAAGUUGAGUGAAGUGUGCUUAGUUGGUUUGUUUUUAUGCUUAUGUUUGAUUUGGAUCUUUGUAAUGAUUGCAAUGAUCUUGUGGAAUUACUUCACAAUUUCAUUAGUUUAUAGACCUAAGGCAUAAGGAUUAAUUAAAUAAGUAGUUGGGUUUGGCUAUCUCUUGUUUCUAUCUCUUGCUGAUUUCUGGAGUAGUUUGCAAUAAUGCUGGUGUAUCUAAAGGUCCAAUCGUGCAAAGUUUAUCAAAUUUUUCUGGGAACAACUAGACUUCAAGAUCUUUCUCUGACCAUAAGAAUCACUCUCAUAGCUAUUAUGGUUUGGAAGUUAUAAAAAUCACAAAAUGAUACAGAUGUGCUGUCCAGAAUCUGGACUAGUUUCGGGAACUUGCUGUCUGAGACAAAUAUAACUAUAGAAUUUGGAAAAGUGUUCUAUAGAAAAGUUAUAGACGACUUGCUAAGCUUUCAAACGGUAUAAGCUGGAACUUAUUUGGCUAAGUAGAACCUGAGAUAUGAUAUUUACAAUUGGAUGUUUCUGUUCUGUAUCAAAGUCUGGACAGUUUUGCUAUUCCUUAUUUUUGGCCAAGUUAAAGGUAGAAUCUGAGAAAACAUGGUAUACGAAAGUUGUAUAGGAUUUCCUAAUCUUUUCAGAAAUGUAAGAAUCUUCUCCAGAUGAGUUAAGUAGCUCGAGAUAUAAUUUCUGGAAUUUACUGCACCUUUGCUGAGACAUUAUCAGGAAGGAUAUUAUGUUUGGUUAUUUUACCUAUGCUUAAAGACAGAACCUAAGGAGGACUUCUACAUGAAAGUUGUAGGGAAUUUCAUAAGUUUUCUAACGAUAUAAUCUGCAACUCUAUUGGAUUAAUAGAAUAAGAGUUAUACCUGUUUUACUACGCUAGUAUUUUUCAUAUCGCGAGGAAAUUUCAAGAUACCUGUUUGCUCCACUGCACAUAAGUUCUUUGGGAUGUCAGAAGUUCUCAAUGUUAACUUGUCGGGAAAGUAAUCAAGCUACCAUUCUUGGUACCCUAGUUGACUUUUCUUAAGGGGGUAGCCCAAUUAAAGAACUACAAGGAGAAGAAGUGGUUAAUAACUGGAACAUCUACAAGGACAUCAAGUGCUUGGUAUGUUGGUUUAUUUCAAGAUAUCAUUCUAUUUGGAGUGUGCUAAUACCAAUGGAGGUUUAUGUCAUUACUGAUACUCAUGGAUUAAGAGUUGUGUAUGAGGAUCAGAUGACACCAAAGUCUACAGAGUUGUAUGUAUAGUGUGAGAGUGAAGCAACUUAACUGUGAUAAAGGUACCGAUAAUUGGAACUUAGUGAUGAAACUAACCUUGGAUCAAGAGACUCGGUACAGCGAAUUUAAAAGACUAUAUGAUGUGUAGCGUCUAAAAAGGAUAGGAGAAAUAAGUUUAAAGAAGGAUCGUACCUUCUACACUAGGUGUCUCGUCAAUAUUUUAGGAAUACUUGAGAGGCUAUUUCGAGUAAGAGAGUGGAAUCAUUGCUAUGAAGAUAUAACUACUCAAGAAAGUGAAUAAGAUUCAAAAUCUAUGUCUCUUUGAUAACCGUCUUUCGAAUAUCGAGGACGAGAUUCGUCUUAAGGGGGUAGAAUUGUAACACCCUAAAAUUUACUUCUUUUGAAAUAUAGAUAAAAUUAUUUAAUUUUAUAUUUUUGUGCUCAUGAAAAUAUAGGAAAAAUAAUAUAUUUUUUUAAAAAUUAAAAUUUAUCAUAAGGCGUAGCAAUAUUAUUAUGCAGACAUGCUGGUGCAUAUGUUUUGAUGUGAUGCUUGUUGCUCCUUUAUGUGUUGAGUGAGCAAAGUUUUUAAAAUGCGUUUAGUAGAUCGAUCUUCCUUGUUGACCUGUACGUCUUUAUCUUUAUCAACAAAAUUUAUUGUUUCUCAACUCAAGUUUUUAUUAGGAGCUUCCUAAAAUCUUUUCUUUGUCACUCAAAGCACUUCUUUUAGUUCCUCGUCCAUCAAGCACUCUCUACAAAUUUUUCAGGAAUUUUUUUCAGCUUCUGUUCUCACUUUUUUGUGAGCAUGAUCUAAUUUUUAGAUGCUCCAAACAAUCUCAUCAUGAGAUCCAAAUAAUUUAUUUGGGUUCCUCAUAUUCCAUAAUGUCUUUGAGAAUUUUCCUUGAAUUUUUGGAGCUUUCGGAGUAUUUUUCGUUGCUUAAAUAAUAAUUCUAGAUUUUUCUUGAAUUAAUUUGUCCAUGAAAUUAAUUAAUUCCUAAAAUAAUAAAUCUCUCAUUUUUCUCAGCGCUCAAGGCCAUGUCUUUAUUUACUAAUGGGCUUUAAUAAUUAAUUAGGUCUAUUAGUAAAGAUGAAGGUUGCAAAUCAAUUAGUACCAUAUCGCUAGUUGACAUGGAGGUGGGGAGUUUUUCUCCCUAUAUAUAUGUACCAACUCCUUAGGCAAAGCACAUCAAAGACUAUCAUAUGGGAAGCCUCUUAUUUGAGAAUUCCUAAGGUAGUAAAAUAAAAUUUAUUUUCUUCUCUACAAUGUGAUCGCCAUUGUCUCGCCUACACACGACAUCUACGAGCGGUCGGCUGCUCCGGCGUUGCUGUAGCUUCAAGAAAGCGUCGCUGCCGGUGAACCUGCUCCCUGUCCAACCAACGUAAGCCCCAAUCACUUUAUCUUUCAGUUUGAAAAAUACAAACAGCUCGGUUUUAGAUUAAAAAUACGUUUUCACUAUUUACAGAAUUGCCACUGACUUUCUAUUGGCCAUAAAAUAUUCAUUUUAACUCCGAUUUGACCCAUUCAAAUUGCGUUAGGUUCGUUUUAAUGAGCUCUACAUGUUAGUAACAUUGUUUUCUUAGUUUUAAACUUUUUAUUUUCAUGACCCUAAUUAAUUAAUUAUUUUCUAAAGGAAAUCUUAGAAAAUUCAUAACUUUUCCGUUUUAGCUCCGAUUUUCGUGAUCUUUACGUUCGUUUGAUCGUAGCGAUGCGUAGAAUCUUUUUAUAAACUUUUCAUACUAUUUUAUAUGAUUGGUGUACUGUUCUAAUUGUAGCCUUGUUUGCUUCGUGUAUGUUUGUUGCCGUAUGUUUGUGAUCGAUGAUCAGAAUUAGUCGGUGAGCAAUUCGUGGUGAUCAAGAGUGCUUUAGUGAUCAAGAUCAGAGUCUUGGCAACUAGUAAGACCAGCAGGAUCAACAAGAGCAUUUGGAUUAAGGCAAGUAUAGCAUUUGGAUUUUAUUUCUGUGACCAUGGUCUUGUGACUUGAUUAAUGUUUAAGCAACAAAUCAUAAAAAUGACUUUUUAGCCACUUGAUGAUUUGUGUGUACGUGAUCACCCGGGACAACAGUGCAACCAUGAGGGCUAUAAUGGCUCUAGCUUUAGUUAAGUAUGAGUAACUUUUCUAGCUCGUUAGCUGUUACCCGUGUGGCGCAAUUGGGGAAUAGCAGACCGUGGAUUCCUGCGGGUGAAUCACAUGGACUGACUAAUGAAACCAAGCGGCCCUAACUUGUUAGGCGAACCUUUGAAAGACUUCAUAGUGAUCCCUGUCGACCUCCCUUGGAAGGGGGUUAAGAGAUUAGCUACCUCAGGCGAAAGGGUAAAUCAUGACUCAUGGGUAAAGAUGUACAACCUCUGCAGAGUGUUAAAAACUAGUAUACUAGCCGAGAUCACGGUCAGGAGCGGUCUUGGGGACAUCUACACUAAGGGUGACGAUUCUUGUGUGUUAAUAUGCUCAUAUUUAUUGUUUAAAGCUUUACAUUAUUUAUGUCACAUUGAUCAUGAGAUUGUGGGAGGUAUACAAUCUAGUUGCUAUACUUGUGGAGUUUGACAUAGACUCACUCUUGCUAUUUUCCCCAAACCUCAGGAGAAGUUUAGGCUUGUGAUCAACCAGUCAGUUGGAUCCUGUAGAAAAAAGUUAAUACCCAAAGUUGGAGUUAUCUAUCCGCUGUAUGCUAUUAAAGGUUAUCUCUUUUAUACGGAGUACGGUAUAUAUUUAUGCAUUGUGUUUUGAUAUUACCCCUUAUUUGUAGCUAUAUGUGAGAUUUGGCUUCUAAGACUCACAUAUGGUGCAUAUCUGGUUUUGUCCUUAAAAUCGGGUAUUACAGAUGUUUAUGCUAACACUUAACUAGUUCCACAAAGCUUUGUUGUCUAUUUGAGCUCCACAGGAUUCAAGGAUCAAAGAAGACUAGCAGAUGGAGGACAUCCUAAUCGCUGUCAGGGUGCUGCCGACAUUCAAUUACACCUCCACCACCUGCUAGCUACAUCAGAAGAAAUUGCAUCAACAUCCAGCUUGGGGGAGAGCACCCUCAUUUAUCCAGCUAAGUAUUCUACUCACGUUUAUACUUUACUCUAACAAUAAAAUGAUGCAUAAUCAUAAGAACCCAAAUAAAGAUUUUGUGCUUAUAUAUAUAUCUUUGCUUAGUUUGCUAAAUAAAUAGAUAAAUAAAGUUUGCUAUGAACUCUCAUGAUAAGCUCUCACAUGGAAAUGAUGAAUAGUUGCUCUGCCAUUACUAGUUCUCAAAAUUGAAAUCUCUCUCAAGUUUAGGCAUGACUGUUAUUAAUUAAAAUUUGCUCUAAACCUGAACUUGUGGGGAGAGUACUUGAUCUAAAGUCUAAGUCGUUAACAGAUAUGAUAUGGGAAGGUUGAGCUACUGUUUAUCUGUUCCUAGAGAUGCUAGAAUUCUGGAGAAUUUUAUCUUUGAAAAUCAUUAAAAUGUUGCAUGAUGAGUUCCUGUAUGAUGAGAGUUUAAAUUCCUACCACAGCCAUAUAUACAUGCUUAUUAGACUAUGAACCACAUAUCUACUUUACUGCUUAUGAGCAUUGAGUGUGGUCAAGCUGUGUAGACCCUUAGGAGCUUGUCAUGUGGUUAAAAUCAAGAUUCACUUGCACAUUCACUCACACAUGCUGCUUCUACUCUGGAAGUACGCAUCCACAUAUAUCCACCCAUUUCCAUAUCCAGAACUACCCAAAAAUAUUCUACUCCUAAUCCGGGAGAGAAUAGCCAAAAACAUUCUCCUAUUUCUGUUCUUCCCUAUGAAAUAAAUGCUCGAGUUAUCUUGGUUACUACCACUUGCUAUAUUAUUUCAGGAGAUGAGUGCUCUAAAAAAAGAAGAGAAAAAAAGUGAAUACGAGGAAAUAAAAAGGGGCAAGUGCCCGGAACCUCGAAAGAAAAGAACAAGUGAGACGAGAGGUAAAAAUGGACAAGUGUCCAACAGUAGAAUUAGGGGUACAAGAUACCCACCUGAGAGAAAAGAAAAAGAAAAUAUAGAGCAUCUCAUUCUCCUCAAAAAGUUUUAAAAGAGCAAGAAAGGUAUGUACCCCUUCAAAAGAGCAUAAGUAGAAUUAGACUUUCACUAUUGUUAUCACCAUCAUCACCAUACACCAUUCAUUCGCCACACAUGCACAUCUUGAUUUGACUUAUUGACUUGUUUCUUUUGGAUCCAUGGUUUGACUAUGCAAUAAAUGUCUUGUAAGUAUGUAUUAGCUGUCUCCCACCUAUGAGCUCCAGAUAUCAAAACCUUAUUAGAGUAGGGUGAGAGAGAAGGCAAUGACACUAUGCUUCAUACCACAAAUACUACAUAUUUUGAGAGAAGGCAUAUACCAUUACUGCCUUGGUAAGGAUCCAGAAAUACCACAAAAGAGAGACUAGAGAGAGUCAUACAAGGAAUCUCUGAGUUUUAUUUGAAAAUCUGCAAAAACUCCAGAGCUAUAGUUAAUCGAACAACAAGAGACAUGGCGCUUGACUAGACCGUUCUAUCUUUUAACUGCUCAAGACACAAGUGACGGUUGCAAGCCCCAUGGUGGAAGGUAAAAUGAGUAAGUUUUGAAUCUUAACAGUUUACCCUAACCCAGAGAUGAGAUCUUGUUUGAACGCAUGUGUAUCUUUAAGGUAUGAAACCAC